UCCAUAACAGCUUUGCAGACAGUUUAUUUAUACCAUUCAACUUACUUACAUUACACAACAGCUCAUAACCCCCUGUUCCUAGUCUGAAGUAGAGUGCUGGGAGCUUUAGCCAUCCAUGUGCUGUCUAUUGAACUUCUAAAUUCUGACAUGGGCUUCUCUUGUAAAAUCUGAUCAUUUGUGCAUAGUGAAGCUGGCACUAUUAGCACAUCACAGCUUUAGCAUGCUUCCAGAGCACUCUUCAACCUUCUGACCAUCUGAGGUAUAAAAACGUGAAGGUAAAAGAGGAUUUGCACAUCCUCUCCACUGAUUUCAGAAGCUGAUGAAGUGCAAACCACUAUGAUCGAAUCUUAAAUGUUCCAGCCUCUAUAUAGCUACAAUAUGAUCAGAAACUUUUAGCUUCCCCUGCAGAUGCUAGCCAAAGAUCUGAAAUGUAACAGUUGCUUCUUCCUAAUGCCAUAAAGUAUGAACUGUGAGAAGCAACUCGGGCAGUCUUUCCCAGAAACUUUCUAGUAGCCAAAAAUUAUUUUGAGACGUGGUACCUACAUAGUUCAUAGGAAAAAAGUCUUCGGUUCAGUAGUUUUGGCAGGUCACAGGGGUGUGCUGCUGACAGAGGUUUUCAAUGACGAGAUAGUUGCACACUGAAGUAAUUUGCAAAGAGUAUUAAGAAAGGUGCCAUGGCUCUUCUCGGCUUCAAGCAUUUGCUCUUCUAGGAAGGAAAACAGUGUGCAACCAUUUUAACAAAUGCCUCUCUACUUUAUGCACUUUGGCACAGAGGUGGUUCAUUUCCAUCACCUUGUCUUGAAUCAGUGGAAUGGUCUCACCCAGGGUCUCAGAUGGCACGUACCGCGGCCGCUGCCCCGCGGCGCUGCCUCGGCCUCCUCAGCGGCUCCGCCAUCCUCACCUCCCGCUCCGUCACCUGCGGGCGGCGAGGCAGGCACCGCACAGGCGGGGGCCUCGCCUGCUUUCACCUGCCGGGCGGCGGGGUCAGGCAGCGGGCGAGCCGCCGCACUCCGCUCUGCUCUCCUCAGCCGCCGGCAGCGGGGGCUCCUCCGGCCGC
rnacentral:lncRNA from 1 species